GAAUUCCUACGGGACGCAGCGGUGAGGAAUAUUGGUCAAUGGGCGAGAGCCUGAACCAGCCAAGUCGCGUGAGGGAAGACGGUCCUAUGGAUUGUAACCCUCUUUUGCCGGGGAGCAAAAAGCGGUACGUGUACCGCAUCGAGAGUACCCGGAGAAAAAGCAUCGGCUAACUCCGUGCCAGCAGCCGCGGUAAUACGGAGGAUGCGCGCGUUAUCCGGAUUUAUUGGGUUUAAAGGGUGCGCAGGCGGCGAGUUAAGUCAGCGGUAAAAUUUCGGGGCUCAACCCCGACGAGCCGUUGAAACUGG
rnacentral:rRNA from 1 species